GAACCUGCGGAAGGAUCAUCA
rnacentral:rRNA from 1 species